rnacentral:rRNA from 1 species
CCUACGGGAGGCUGCAGUGGGGAAUAUUGCACAAUGGGGGAAACCCUGAUGCAGCGACGCCGCGUGAGUGAAGAAGUAUUUCGGUAUGUAAAGCUCUAUCAGCAGGGAAGAAAAUGACGGCACCUGAUGAAGAAGCUCCGGCUAACUACGAGCCAGCAGCCGAGGUAAUACGGAGGGGGCCAGAGUUAUCCGGAUUUACUGGGUGUAAAGGGAGCGUAGACGGGAGGACAAGUCUGGAGGGAAAUGGAGGGGCUUAACCCCGGAACUGCAUUGGAAACUGUGCAGCUAGAGUGCAGGAGAGGUAAGUGGAAUUCGUGGUGUAGCGGUGAAAUGCGUAGAUAUUAGGAGGAACACCAGUGGCGAAGGCAGCUUACUGGACUGUAACUGACGUUGAGGCUCGAAAGCGUGGGGAGCAAACAGGAUUAGAUACCCCAGUAGUC